rnacentral:rRNA from 1 species
GUCGAGCGCAGGAACUGACGGAACUCUUCGGAGGGAAGGCAGUGGAAUGAGCGGCGGACGGGUGAGUAACACGUAAGGAACCUGCCUCAAGGAUUGGGAUAACUCCGAGAAAUCGGAGCUAAUACCGGAUAGUUCAACGGACCGCAUGGUCCGUUGAUGAAAGGCGCUUCGGCGUCACCUUGAGAUGGCCUUGCGGUGCAUUAGCUAGUUGGUGGGGUAACGGCCCACCAAGGCGACGAUGCAUAGCCGACCUGAGAGGGUGAUCGGCCACACUGGGACUGAGACACGGCCCAGACUCCUACGGGAGGCAGCAGUAGGGAAUCUUCCACAAUGGACGAAAGUCUGAUGGAGCAACGCCGCGUGAGUGAUGAAGGUUUUCGGAUCGUAAAACUCUGUUGUAAGGGAAGAACACGUACGAGAGGAAAUGCUCGUACCUUGACGGUACCUUACGAGAAAGCCACGGCUAACUACGUGCCAGCAGCCGCGGUAAUACGUAGGUGGCAAGCGUUGUCCGGAAUUAUUGGGCGUAAAGCGCGCGCAGGCGGCCUUUUAAGUCUGAUGUGAAAGCCCCCGGCUCAACCGGGGAGGGCCAUUGGAAACUGGAAGGCUUGAGUACAGAAGAGAAGAGUGGAAUUCCACGUGUAGCGGUGAAAUGCGUAGAGAUGUGGAGGAACACCAGUGGCGAAGGCGACUCUUUGGUCUGUAACUGACGCUGAGGCGCGAAAGCGUGGGGGAGCAAACAGGAUUAGAUACCNCUGGUAGUCCACGCCGUAAACGAUGAGUGCUAGGUGUUGGGGGGGUUUCCGCCCCUCAGUGCUGAAGCUAACGCAUUAAGCACUCCGCCUGGGGAGUACGGCCGCAAGGGNUGAAACUCAAGGAAUUGACGGGGGAC